rnacentral:rRNA from 1 species
GACGAACGCUGGCGGCGUGCUUAACACAUGCAAGUCGAACGGAAAGGCCCUGCUUUUGUGGGGUGCUCGAGUGGCGAACGGGUGAGUAACACGUGAGUAACCUGCCCUUGACUUUGGGAUAACUUCAGGAAACUGGGGCUAAUACCGGAUAGGAGCUCCUGCUGCAUGGUGGGGGUUGGAAAGUUUCGGCGGUUGGGGAUGGACUCGCGGCUUAUCAGCUUGUUGGUGGGGUAGUGGCUUACCAAGGCUUUGACGGGUAGCCGGCCUGAGAGGGUGACCGGCCACAUUGGGACUGAGAUACGGCCCAGACUCGUACGGGAGGUAGCAGUGGGGAAUAUUGCACAAUGGGCGGAAGCCUGAUGCAGCAACGCCGCGUGCGGGAUGACGGCCUUCGGGUUGUAAACCGCUUUCGCCUGUGACGAAGCGUGAGUGACGGUAAUGGGUAAAGAAGCACCGGCUAACUACGUG